AGCAGCCGCGGUAAUUCCAGCUCCAAUAGCGUAUAUUAAAGUUGUUGCAGUUAAAAAGCUCGUAGUUGAAUUUCGGGGUUAGUAAGUUGGUCAUGCCUUCGGUAUGUACUGGCUUUACUGAUUCCUCCUUCUUGACGAACCGUGAUGUCAUUAAUUUGGUGUUGCGGGAAAUCAGGACUGUUACUUUGAAAAAAUUAGAGUGUUUAAAGCAGGCUAACGCUUGAAUACAUUAGCAUGGAAUAAUGAAGUAGGACGUUAAUCCUAUUUUGUUGGUUUCUAGGAUCGACGUAAUGAUUAAUAGGGAUAGUUGGGGGCAUUAGUAUUCAAUUGUCAGAGGUGAAAUUCUUGGAUUUAUUGAAGACUAACUACUGCGAAAGCAUUUGCCAAGGAUGUUUUCAUUAAUCAAGAACGAAAGUUAGGGGAUCGAAGACGAUCAGAUACCGUCGUAGU
rnacentral:rRNA from 1 species